AUGUACGUCAGUAUAUGGGGAUGUUUCCCCACAUUCAACGCCGAGAAUAGAGGAAAAAUUAAAGGGGAGAUAAAAUCCCCCCUUUUUGGUUAACU
rnacentral:sRNA from 1 species